UUGAACCGCAUGGUUCAAAAGUGAAAGACGGUCUUGCUGUCACUUAUAGAUGGAUCCGCGCUGCAUUAGCUAGUUGGUAAGGUAACGGCUUACCAAGGCAACGAUGCAUAGCCGACCUGAGAGGGUGAUCGGCCACACUGGAACUGAGACACGGUCCAGACUCCUACGGGAGGCAGCAGUAGGGAAUCUUCCGCAAUGGGCGAAAGCCUGACGGAGCAACGCCGCGUGAGUGAUGAAGGUCUUCGGAUCGUAAAACUCUGUUAUUAGGGAAGAACAUAUGUGUAAGUAACUG
rnacentral:rRNA from 1 species